rnacentral:lncRNA from 1 species
UUAUCAUUUUCGAUUCACUCCUCAUUUGAAACAUCUUCAAUCCGGGUUCCUUGGCCACUCCUCUUCCAAGGCAGCUUCAUUGCAGAUCGGCGUAUCCCUUACCAGGUACAUCUCUUCCCUUUUUACUAAUGCUUCCUUCGCUAGUUUAUGGGCUUGAAUAUUUUAUGAUCUUUGAAUAAAUCGAAAAAUGAUUUCUUGAAACCGAGAACUACAACUCUGGAUAUCUCUGAUAAUCGCUCCGACAAUCGAUCUAUCCAUAUCUGUCGCUUUACAAUUUUUGAUGAUUGUUUUCGACUCCCCCAUAAGCGUGACUCAUUUUAGACCCAUUAAGAUGCCUAACUUGGCUGUCUGUAAACAUAUAAGUGCCUCUGCUAGAAACAGAGAUGAGACAUUGGCAUGAAGGGUCGUUUUUGAGGCUUUUAUCUCUCCCAUCUGAUCUCGAACGACAAUCCCCGACGCUGAUCUGGAAUUGUUUGCAUCAAAAGCUGCAUCGAAUUGUAUUAUGUCCCUUGUUGUCUCCUCCUUUUGCUUUUGUGUUCUGGUAGUCCCCAACACUCCUUCUAGUUCUGUUAAAUAGCUCUGUAUUUUUUGUACUAGAUCCCUUCCUGAUGCAAGUUUCUUUCAUGCACCAUUUGGUUCCGCGAGCUCCAUAUAACCCACAGAGUACAGCAAAACAUCCGACAAUGUUCCUUAGUACCUUUUCUGAAAACCCAAGCAAGCCAUGUCUUGAUAUUUUGAUCUAGAUGUGAUGUAACCCAAACCAUAUUAAGAUUCUUCCAUACUUCAAUGCUUGUAGGGCAUUGCCGAAAGACAUGGAAGCUGUCCUCUUCCCCAGACCAACAUCGAGGGCAUCUCACAUUUGUGGUUAUUCGCUUGCAUCUGAGAUUGACUAGUGUAUGAAUAUAGUUCCAGAAUAUCCGCCAGAAUAGAAGUAGAAUUUUUUAUGGAAUUUGUAAAUUCCAAAGUUUUCUGUUUAAUUCUUUAGUAUCAGUCUGUAAUAAAUAACUAUUAGGAUCCAGAAAGUUCACUUUUCCAAACGAGCAAGUCUUCGCAGUUUGUUACUGCAAGUGGGAUUUGCAAAAUUCUUUGAGUAAUGUCCGUUUGAAAGGUAUUAGUAAUAACCUCCGUUUUCCAUAUCUUACUUGUACCAUCGAUUAAAUCUGAUGCUAAUUUCAGCUCUCCAUUGUCAUCUCUGUUCUGCUAGAUAACAAGUUCUACCCCUGGAAUCCACUGACCUGUCCAAAUGGAGAUGCCAUUUCCUCUCCCAACUCUCCAACUUAGCCCUUGAAGAAUUAGUCCCUUUGUAAUCCAAAUACUCUUCCAUGUAAGAGAAGGUAAACUCCUCAACUAUGCACUUAGAAAAUUAGACCGUGGAUAAUACUUUGCUUUAAGAACCCUGGCUAAAAGUGAAUUUGGAUAAUUAAAGAGACGCCAACCUUGCUUGGCUAAUGAUGCGAUAUUAAACUGGCUAAGAUUACGAAAACCCAAACCUCCAUUUUCUUUUAAACUGCAAAUAUUUUUCCAAGAGCACCAAUGAAUUCCCUCUUUCCAUGUCCCCUUCUCCACCAAAAUUUCACAACAAUUGCUUCCAUUUCAUCGCAUAAAGAUUUUGGGAGUAAAAAGCAAGUCAUUGAAUAUGUCAGAAUUGCUUGUAAAAUAGUUUUAAUAAAAAUUUCUUUUUCACCCUGCGAUAAAAAUCUAGUACUCCAAUUGUCAAUGCGUUGCUUUAGCCUAUCCUUUAAAGCCUGAAAAGAUUUCUUCUUUUUUAAUCCCACCAUGUUCGGCAAACCUAGGUAUUGUUUUGGCUCAACUGAACUUCGAAUUCCCAACAAAUUGACAACCAGUCUUCUUUCUUCCUCUAUCGUGUUUUUACUGAAAAACAGUUGAUUUAUCAAAAUUCACACAUUGUCCCGAACAUCUUUUAUACUCAUUUAAGAUCUCCUUGAGUACAACAGCCCCUCUGCUUGUUGCUUCCCCAAAUAGAAUGCAGUCGUUUGCAAAUAAUAAAUGUGACACCUGUGGACCUCUUCUACUUACCUUGACACCCUUCAGAAAUCCUUCUUUUGUAGCUAUUCUCAUAAGACUAGAAAGGCCCUCUCCACAUAUUAGGAAAAGAAACGGACUCAAAGGAUCACCCUAUCGAAGUCCCCUGGUUGGACGGAAUGUUACUCCAACAUUUUCAUUUACCACAACCUUAUAUGAAAUAGUAGACAUGCAUUUCAUAAUAGUAUCAAUCCAUAUUUGAGCAAAUCUCAUUCGUAUCAUUAUCUCCCUAACAAAGUUUCAUUCAACCCUGUCAUAAGCCUUACUUAUGUCCAAUUUUACCGUCAUAAAGCCUUUUCCCCCCACUCUUUUCUGUUUUAGAGUAUACAAUAUUUCGUAAGCUAGCAAUACAUUAUCCGAGAUUAAUUUUCCUGGCACAAAAGCACUUUGAGCACUAUCAAUGCAUUUAUCAAUCACUCUUCGAAAUCUGUUCGCUGUAACUUUCGCCAUCAUUUUAUAAAUAACAUUGCAUAAACUAAUAAGCCUAAACUGUGACAUAUUAGAUGGGUUGUUAAUUUUUGGAAUAAGCACAAUAUGAGUUGUGUUAAUUGAACUGACCUCCAUAUCUCCAUUCAAGAAUUGUUGACACAAGGAAACUACUUCCUCUCCAAUAAAAUGCCAACAGCCAACACUUCUGAUAAAAGAUAGCUGGAAAUCCAUCCUCGCCCGGCACCUUUGGGGGUACCAUUUUGAACAAAGCCUCGUGAAUCUCUUCUCCUAUAUAUCGCGCCAUAAGCUCUUUAUUUUCCUCAUCAUAGACACAUCGAUCAAUGCUCGAGAGUAAAUAAUCAAUUUUUUUCUGAUUAUUUGAUGUAAACAAAUUCUGAAAGUAGGACCUUGAUAUUUCUUCCAUUUCUUAAAGAUCUCUCGUUUCCCUUCCAUGUUCACUUUGUAACUUACUAAUCAUGUUUUUCUUCUGCCUCUGGGUUGCCUGACUAUGGAAAAAAGCUUAAUUUUUGUCGCCUAAUUUUAACCAGUUCAGUUGGGCCCUUUGCUCCUAGUAUCUUUCAUCCUUCUCAAUUUCCAAAUUUAGCUAAAUCUUCGUAUCAAUCAUCUCCGCCAUGUUAGUAUCAUCCCUUUCAGCUUCAAGCAACUCUGAUAACUUUGCUGUUAAAGAUUCAUUUCUCCAUUUUUUAUUAAUUUGCAUUUUUCCCGCCCAAUUUUCCAGACCCUUCUUUAAAAAUUCCAUCUUCUACAGAAAAUCACCUGAUGCUAUCUCCCAUAAAAUUUCCAGUUUCAUCAACAAAAGAAUCUUCCAAAAAUUAUCAGGUUUCAAUUUUGAAACAAUUUUCAUUUUACUGUCUUCCUUCCUUUUUUGUAUAAAUUAAAAGAGGACAAUGAUCAGAAAAAGAAUGCACUAGAUGCUGAACUUUUACCUCAGAAAAUAGAUAAAUCCAUUCCUCAUUGGCAACCCUCUAUCUAUACAUACUUGUAUAUUUGUUUCUAGGAGAUUACCUCUCCCACAUGAACCAUCUACCCAAGUACCCCACAUCAUUCAGUUGACAAAACUCUAAAGCUUUCCAAAACAUUCCCAUCCUUAUUUCAUCUUAGGGCAGGCCUCCCUUUUUUUCAAAGCCAUACAUAAUUUCAUUGAAAUCUCCACAUACCAACCAAGGGACAUUCUUUUCAUUAUAAAGAUUUUUCAAGACAGCCCAUGAAUCUUCUCUAUCUUGUGCAUACGAAGUUCCAUAAAAACCUAUAAAUCGCCAAUUACCUUCUCUUUCAUUAUCACUCACUACCACAUCAAUAUGCCUUUAAGAGAUUCUGUAGUGAAAUAUUAACGUCAUUCCACCAAGCCAAACAUAACCCUCCUCUAGUACCUUCCGGAUCCACCUCAAUACCAUUCACAAAACCACAUCUCCGUUGAACUCUUUCCAUUUGAAUUCCACAAAGUUUCGUCUCCAUAAAGAAGACUAUAUGGGGAUCACAAGUCUUCAGCGAAUGCCAAAGUCUUCUAACUAUCCGUGGACUCCGUAAUCCAAGGACAUUUCAGCUUAAUAUUUUCAUUGCACCCGGUCGACUUGCCACUUGGCAGCCACCGAUGAUAAAUGAUUAAGAUCUUCCAAACUCCUAUUUCUUGUUAGGGUAUUAUUCAUCUCCUCAAUCCUUUGUAAAUCAUUAAGCUCCCCUCUAGAUCUUUUCUUACCCUCCUCUCUUACUAGGGCCACAUCCUCCAAAACGUGAUCUAUCGCAUUUAGGGUGUGAUUAGUCAGUGAACUAUCCUGCUUUGUACCAACACUUGAUAAACUGCCUUCCAAAUUAAAACCAAGAUUUGGAUCAACAGGCUUCCCAUAACUUUUCCUGUACUCCAUCCUUCGUUGUUCAUUUGCAAAUCCCCUAUUUACCUCAUGAAUUCCACUCGUAACCCCCUCACUUUCCUCUCGUAACCAGACACUGUUCAUAGUCAAAGCUCUUUGGGAUUGUGCUCUUAUUGAUAAAUCCCACCCCAUUUUAGUAAUUUUCACUCCAAUUGUCAUUUUUGCCUCACAAAAAGAAUCAUUAUGGCCCAACUUUCCAUAAUAGAAACAGAAAAGUGUCAACCUUUCAUAUUUAAAACUAACAUAUGAACGCCUCCCACGGAACUCGAUUUGUUUCUUCCUUUUCAAGGGACGUCUGAUAUCAAUUUGGACCCUGAUUUGCAUAAAAUUCCUAUUUUCUUUCCCUAUAUUUGGCACAUUGUAUUCCAUAAAGUACCCCAAGAAAUUUUCUAAAUUCACUACUAAGUUUUCAGAAAACAAACCAAUAGGCACAUUAUGUAUUUGAACCCAGAAAAGGGUUAACACUAAAGGCACCUACAGCGGAUCCUCCCCCUAAUGUAGUUUAUAAGUAUCAGCAAAUGAUUAUUAAAGGUUCAUGAGGAGCCUUUCAAAACCCUCUUCAUAUCCAUAGAAUGAAAACAUUGAAACAGUAACCUUUUUUCCCUAGAUCUCGGAUUCGAACGCCCCGAACAGUAUGCCACAAAUUCGCCAUAGUGCUUUUUCAUGGCUGGAAAGUGAAUUAUGCUUGCUAUGAGAAAACACCCCACUAAUUGAAAAAACUCUACCCUUCUUCCCGUACUAGGAUCUUCUUGAAUUUGAAUAGCAACAUCUUCCCUUCAUUUAUCAUUAAUUGGGCUUAUUAGUUCUCCAUUAUUUUUCAAGGACACAACGCAGAAAACCUAAAUUCUUGCCAGAGGUAGUAGACACAAGCGCGCUAGGGUAGCAGAUUGUUAAAACCUUAGAUUGUUGAGUUGUUAGUCUCACGGCAUAAAUAACUUGUACAGACUAUUGAUUUGUUUUGUACCAAUACAAUUAUUUUUUUCUUAAAAACACAUUAAAUUAAAUAAAUAUUAGAAUAGUAUAAAUACUUGGAAUUAUUAUAUAAAAAUAUUCAUGUUUAAAAUAGUUUUUAAAAAUUAGCAUGUUUUAAAAUUAAAAUAUUUGGAAUUAUAUAAAAAUAUUUGAAAAUUUGAAGUUAAAAUUUUAUAUUACAAUAUUAAAAAAUGUUGAACUACGCACGUGCCAAUCCAUCCAUAACAUUAAAAUUUAAUUCAAAAUAAUAAUUUAACAAAUUGAUUAGAAAUAAAUUUUAACAAAAAUUUAAAAAUUUAGCUUUUGAAAUCUUAUAUUUAAAUUUAUUUCUCAUUUUAUUAAUAAAAUUUAUAAAAAAAAUUUGUAGUCACAUUUUAAAUUUAAUUAAGAAUCUACUUUCCCUAAUUAAUCAUUAAAAUCAAGUUGGAAACUAUAUAUAAAAUGAGAAUUUCAUAUAACUUAUAAUUAUAAAAUUUAUAUUUUAAAAAUAUUUUCAAUAUAUUGUUAGUCUAAUAUUAAGUAUCAUGUUUUUAAAAUUAAACUUAUAAAUUAUUAUGUUUUAAUUUCAUUAACAGAAAGUUAUAAAAUUUAUAAAAAAAAUUUAAGAAAUAAUUAAAUGUAAUUUAAUCGAUACAUACAAUCAACUCGUGGCACUCCCCAUUUGGAAAUAAAUAAAAUUUACAUGAUUUUUUAUGAAAAAUAGAAAUAAACAAGCAUGUUUGUGUUGCAAUUUCUUUUUGAGAUAAAAAGGUUUCCAUUUAUGCAUAAAACAAACAACAAAGCACCCAUUUGGCGAUGCCCAAGCGGAAUAGAGCAUAUACACGGGCCCAACAAAUGACCCAACGAGAAAGUUCCAAAAUAGAAAAACAAAAGCAAGAUAGUAACCCUACCAGACAGCAACCAAAGGAAGUCAAAAGCCUUCCGCUGUCCAAAUAGAUGAGGAAAAUUUGAGUGACAAUGGAGAUACACAUGAGAAACAGAGGAGAGGAAAGCAAUCAAGCGUUGUUGUGUUAGGAGAGACCAUGAACCAAGCGUCGAGCUACUCCACUAUAGCAACCAUGGCUAAUUCCACCUAGAAAGGUACUUCCUCUAUCCAAAACUGAUCUUCCCACCGAAAACCUAAUGCGGCCAGAAGAUGGGCACUAAAUUUUGUUCCCAAAAACAGUGGCGAACAACAGCUUCAGAGAAAUCUCUAAGUAAACGUCGUCUUCCCUCAUGAAUGAGUGCCCUGAUUUUGGAAUAAUCGUCCUGUGAGGAUGUUAAUCGCCGAAUAACAUGUAGGGAACCCUCAAAAAUAACCCGAGAGAGGUCGAGGUCACAGGAAAAGAUCGCUAUAGUGAGAAAAGUUAGCGUCUCUGCCGCAAAAGGAGAGGAUACAUAUUGAUGUCAACGAGUACAAGCCCCAAAAAACCAAUCCUUGGCAAUCCCGGAUCACCACUCCAGAGUAAGAGGAACUUGUUCUGCCUCGUAAUGUAGUUUAAGUUUUCUUUUAUCAUGGGGGUAGCUACUGGUCGCCAACGCGUAGAUCGAGAACCCUUGGGGACCAACACAUGAACAACAAGUAAUGGCAAAGAAGAGAAAUAUGAGCAGAUGAAAGAAGCUAGCUCUAGUGGAGUGGAUGUCUUCGUGAUAUAAGCAAAUUCCCACCGACUAAAGAGCCCAGAUUAUUGUAAAUGCAAUUUCCAUUUCACCUUCUAUAGAUAAUGUACACAAAUGCCCCAACCAAUUGACAAACCCAAAAUCAAUAUAAGUAUCCGACCAGGAGAUGUCCAAACAGCACCAUCCCAAAGCAACAAAAGGACAGUCUCAUGCAACAUGGACUAUAGUUUCAGGCACAGUAAGACACCGAGGGCAGAACUAGGUAAAAGAAAUUGUAAAAGAAAUACAUUUGUUGUAUAGGUUAGACAAAGUAGGAACAUAAUUCUUCAAAAAUAUUUCAUGUUGUAAUUUGCACCUUGGGAAUGUGUAACGCGUAGGUUUGUGCAAGUGUACACAAUCGUUAUCAAGUAAUAAGUAUCGAGUUAUCGUCUUCACAGGGAUUGUAUUUGUGCUAAGUCACUUAAUUUGUAAAAUUAUAUUAACAACUUGGUAAAUAAAAACACAAUAUAGUUUAGAAGUGGUGAUUAAAAUAUAUUAAACUAAAUGCAAUUAUCCAUAAUGCAAAUUUUCCUAAGUAUGCAAACUAUAUGAAUGAAAUAGAUUUUAGUAAAAUUAAAUACAAUUUGCAACAAUUAUAACAUAAAUAAACUAGGAUAAUUACUUUAAUUAAACUCAAUUUAUUAUCAAUAUGCUUAAUAACAUUCGAAAAAACAUUCCAUGGUAACUCGAUCUUUCAUAGUUUGGAAACCACAUUAGGUCCUUUCGAAAUUCUUUACUUAGUAAAUACGCAUUUUACUAAUCUUUAUUUACUAAGGGUUUCUUAGCAUUCGUGUGAGGUAACAGGGACGUGUCAGGUUUGAAACAAUUUAAUCACAAAUCUAAAAACUAUGCAGAUAACAGAGCUUGGUUGGAGUUGUUAUGCAACAUUUAAUUUAAUCGGGUCAGGAUCUAAAUUAAGCAUGCACAUUUCAAUUGUGUCCAUUAGCCAUCGUCCAGUCAGGAUCGCUCGACUAAUUUAGGUGCAUUUCAAUGUAGACUUGAUUUUAAUUGAAAAUAUGAUCGAUUGAGGCACAAACAUUAUAAGCAUGAAUCAAAUAAAUAUUAUUUAAUCAAAGCAAUCAUCCUAGCUUAAAUAAAAUUAAGCUAAUAUUGUUGUAAACAAGAACAAAAAACACGUAGCAAACAUCUUUAUAUUAAAUUAAAGAAAAAGAAGAUUAAACCCAAUUCAUAGUGGUUAUCACCUAAGACUCUGACUGACGAGGCUCUUUCGUUUCUUUGCUUUGCUCCUUUGCUUAUGGCUUUCUAAGGUGACCGACCAAGGGUUCUUUAAGAGGCUUAAUUGCUAAAAUCUCUAUGAAGAGAUGAUGCUAGGCGUGGGAAUGGGAAAGGCUAAGAGGAUUUGGAGAAAAGAGAGAAUGAUGAAUGAUGAAAAUGAAUGAGGAAUGAUUGUGGGAUGCUUGAAAGAUGUUUCAAGGAUGAUGAAUGAAUGAAUGAAUGAGAGGGUCUUAUUUAUAGGUGAGGAGAGGGGGAUAGUUUGCUAAAAAUAGUGGAUGUUAACCUUUUCAAAUCUCCUCAAAUUGUGGCUAGCCAUGCUUAGUGGCUUUUGACUUGAUUUUUUUGCUUGAUUUUUAAGCAAUUUUAGAUGCCACACAAUUCAGGACUGAGACUCGGUCAAUGAUAAAUCUUCGAGAAAAUCUCUAAUUUCUUUAACACUGCAAAAACCUUGUGUAAUUAAACCAAAGAAUGGUUUAAAUGGACAACCAUGUGUAGCCAAAUAUUGGGUUGACUUGGUCUCCAAUUUGGAUGGUUUUGUAAUCUAGCAAAGCUAUCAGACCUAUUCAGAACAAAUUAACAAGUUAGAGGACCAAAGAAUAAAAUUUAUUAAAUAUAAUUUUAUAUUUUAUUAUUUAAUUUAAUCAUGCAUGGCCUACUUUAUGUCUUAAAAAAUAUAAUAUAUUCAAAUUAAUAUAAAAUAAGCCAUUUAUUGCAUGAAAAACUAUAUAAUAAUGCAUAAAAUCACAUUUUAAUAAUUUCUAUGUCCUAAUUUCAUAUUUUCACAUAUUUCAUUAAUUUAUUAAACAAUUAUUUAGUUUUAACAACGAAUUUAAGUAAAAAGGUGAUAAAUUACAUAGGAAAAAUCCUAUAUAUUUUUUCGUUUACACAGCCCUAAACUUAAAUAAUUGCUUGUCCCGAGUAAUUUUUAUGCAUAGCAAAAGGUCUUGCUAAGGAAAAAUUGCUAAUUGUGUAAGUAGCAUCAAUCUUUGUCCCAUAGUCAUGCAUUAAUAACUUCAUGCUUAUCGAUCUUCUUUAUUAACAAGUAAUUCAUAUGCAAACUUUCCUUAAGAUUAUACUAAGCUUCAGAAUAUGCUAACAUGAAUCAUAGUUUGCAUGUAUGUCUCAGUCAUAGAUAACAUUUUUCAUUCAACAUAAUUUCUUAUCAAUCAAGCAAACAAUCACAAGGCUUAUUUAUGAUUUUUAUAUGUUGAACUUAAGACUUCCUCUCCACUAAUGUUGGUGACAUAAUCAUCAAAUCAAUAGGUCUUUUAUAAGGUUGUAAUGGGGCUCAGUUAAAGGUAGGGAUUUUAAGAGAUAAGACAUUUCGGUUUUAAAAAUCUUAACCUUUAACUUUGUCUUGGUUUUCUCGUACUAUAACUUUUUUCUUUAAAUGAACAUUUGGAACACUCCCAAACUUAGUUUGAACUCAAGCUCAUACAUUUUUCCUUUUUGAAGAUUGGGCAAAUUUUUUUUCGCUCUUUUUUUUAAAGCAUGAGCACAUACAUCUUUAUGAAAAUUUCCUUAAAUGUUGAUUCCUAAGACAACUUUAGUUAAAAUAGGUGCACAAAAUUAGGAUAAUUUUAAAAAGAUGGUAACUGGCUUAUAAUGUAGGUUCAUUGCAAAAACAGGCCUUUAAGCUAAAAAUUACAGUUUCAAGGGUCUAAUAUCAUAGGGUUGGCUUGAAAAGGCUCAAAUGGUCCAAAGAAAUAGUGCCUAUAUCAUUUUAGAUUUUUAUGUCCUUUAGGAUUUCGCCUCAAGAAAGUUACUAAGUCAAUUCUAAAGAUAUAAACCUUCAUGCAUGUCUAAUCUCAAAAGAAACUAAGUUUUCAUGGCAAACAUUACUAAAGCUAAGAUCAUGCAAGCAUUCCAUUCUUCAUGGUAACGGACUUUCACUUAGAUAAAAUCAUCAUUCAUACUUGCAUACAGACUAUCUCAGUAACAAAAAAAUAUCUCUAAACAUUCAUUUAUUAAAACAUACUUAUGAAAGAAAUAAUUGAAGCAUACUUGAAAAAAUUUUAAAAGUUUAAGUAAUUUAUUUGCCUUACCCCCUUUAAAAAGAAGCAAUGUCCUUAUUGCAAGAACAAAAUAAUGAAUGAAAAUUGAACACCAGGUAAGGUUGUAAAGAAAGGGAGGUGAGUCAUUAAGACUGCUUAAAUACCAAGUCUUCCCUAAUAUCUCAAUCCUAGACAUGUUCAUUCUUAUUACCACAUCACUUAGUCUUAUUCUUUCUAAAGAAGUGUUAAGUUUGUUCAUGCUUGCUGUGUUUUAUUCUGCAGAAAUUAAAUCCUAAUUACGAAGAAAAAUUCCUAAAGACCUAAAAAUAAUUAAAUAAAUAACAGGACAAGAAUCCCUCCUUUUAUUUUUCUGACUUAUUCCCCUUGUCUUCUUUAGCUCCAUCUCCGCUUGCAUCGUCAGUAUUUUCCGUCCAUGUCUCAAAGAUAGCAUCUGGGAACUCAGGAACAAAAGUAUUAGAGAUUUUCUUAAAAAGUAUUUUGAAUUGAUUCAUCUCUAAUUUUUUUCAUUUUUCUAGUAAGUUUGUUAUUGAUUGUGCAUGAACUUGCACAUAUCCAUCAAAAUUGACAACUCCAAUUUCCUUGAUUGGUUCUUCUUCUAGCUCAACCCUUGGUUCAAGAAUGUUCAGUUCCUUAUUAGACUCUUCCUCUUCAGUGUCUGUGACUGAAUUAGCUUCAGUUUCAGUUUCAUCUGUUGACUCCUUUGUAUUCGGCUUAGUUGGCUCUUCUUGCUCACAUUGAUUCAGUUCAUGCACUCUCUUUACCAAUCUUUCAAGAUCAUAAUUUGUAAUGCAUCCUUGAACAUAUCGCCCCUUCAGAUUUACUUAUGUUUUAACACGGGUCUUUGAGCAAAGUGAAGUGAUUAAUGAUGGGAAAUAAGCACUUCCUACUUUCUUUUUAUCACAAUCAUGAAUCUCCUUAAGGAUAAUUUUCCCAACAUGAAUGGACUUUUCUGUCAAAAUUGCAUAUAACAAAAGCAUCCGUUCCAUCGAGAUGGUGGAACUAUGUGAGAUAGGCAUAAAACUGUAGCGAAUGAAAUAAAACCAUACUUUUGCUACUCGUUUUAAGUAUUCUCUUCGACAAGAAUGGCUCUCAUACUUUCUUAUAAUCUAUUGGGAUCCCGAAUUUGUCACAACAUCAAGCACUUGUUGAAGAAAAUCCCAAUUGAUAUUGUUCAUCAUAGGGUAGUACUCAUCUUCUUCAACAUCAGGUAAAUUAAACAAAUCAUUGAUGAACUUAGAAGUAAGAGGUACCUUUAUCUUUUGAACGAUGACUUGAGUAGCAUCUUGCGUAGUCAAACUAGCAUAGAAUUCUCGAACUAGUUCAUCAUCGGGAAGUGAACGAGCAUCACAAAAUCGUUCCCACUUGAGAGCAUUGAUUUUCUUUCUAAUCGGUAUAGGAACAACCAUCAAAUCAUUACUCUUCAAGUCAAAACCUUUUUUCGGCGUCAUAGGUUGAUGCUUGAAGAUUGAAUCAAAUCUCUCUUUCAUUUCUUCAUCAAUCAAAAUCGGGUUUUCAGGUCUUUGAAGAUCUGAUUCUUUUGCGAGAUAUGGUAUCUUUUCCCGAAAAUUCGGGAAGUUUCUACACAAAAGAGAAAAGAGAAUUUGGCAAAGUAGGUAGAACUUGCUACGGAAAAAUCUUACGAUGGCAAAAGGGAAUUUCAACAAAAAGGGAAGAGAACUACGAUUUCUUUCAAAAUUUGAGGCUAACGGCACAAAAGGGAGAUUUUGGGAUUUUUAGGGUGUAAGUAAAUUUCUUUGAAGGAUAUGAAGAUUAGUAGAUUUGAAAGGGGUUUAUAUAGGAAAAAUUAGGGCAACAUGUAGCAAAAAAAUUAGCUAUAUUAGGGUUGCUUGGGCGGCGAGCAAUGGGUGUGAUGGCAAGGCAUGGAUUUUUCCCUCCUUUUUGUUGUCUUGGGCCUCAAACUCAGACUAUAUCUUACUAAAAAAAUGAUUAGUACUUGGGCCAAAUUUGACCCCCUUUAUCAACAUAAAGAUUUAAAAUUUAAAUAGAACAAAUGAAAUUUAAAAAAUAAAUUUAAGUCUUAAUUAGAAAAUUUCUUCUUAACAAAUUACAUUAAAUUAAUUCCUAGGAAAGGUUGCAAGGGUCACAACGGUCCCGCUUAAGUUCCAACCUCCUUAGACAGAAUUAAUUAAAUGUAAUAAGUUAAGAAAAUAAGUUCUAAUUAUUUAUUUAUUUACAAAAUGAGUUCAUGAAAAAUUAAAGCUCUGUUAAUUUGAGCGAGGAUUCAACUCGCUCAACUUCACCAUCCUAGUAGUGUUUGAGACGUUGACCAUUAACUUUAAAUGUACCUCUGCAAUUGUUGUAUAAUUCAAUAGCUCCAUACGGAUAAACUCGGUAGAUGAUAUAAGGUAUUUUCCAUUGGGAUUUAAGCUUUCCAGAAAAUAACUUCAACCUUAAAUUAAACAACAAAACCUUCUGACCUUCUUUAAACUCGCGAGGUUGUAUAUGACUAUCAUGCCAUCUUUUUUAUCUUUCUUUCCACAUUUGGACAUUCUCAUAGGAAAACAACUUCAACUCUUCCAACUCAUCAAGUUGUAACAUCUUGCUCUCACCGGCUUGCUUAAUAUCAAAGUUCAACUACUUCAAAGCCCAGUAAGCUUUAUUUUCCAACUCUAAUGGCAAAUGACAUGCCUUCUCAAAGACUAACCGAUAAGGAGUCAUUUCUAACAGUCUUAAAUGCUGUUCGAUAGGCCCAUAAUGUAUCAUCGAGCCUUCGAUACCAAUCUUUUCUGCUAGGGCGUACUACCUUUUCAAGGAUAGCCUUGAUUUCGGGAUUCACUCUUUCAACUUGCCCAUUAGACUGGGGGUGAUAGGCAGUAGCAAUCUUGUGCUUCACAUCAUAUUUUUCAAGCAACCACUUAAGCCAUUUGUUCACAAAUUCAGAACCUUCAUCACUAAUAAUAGCUCUUGGUGUCCCAAAUCGUGUAAACACAUGCUUAUGUAGGAAUCGCAUGACUACCUUAGCAUCAUUUGUAGGGUAUGCUUUAGCUUCAACUCACUUUGAUACAUAGUCCACAGUAACUAUGAUGUAUUUGUUCCCAUACGAAGAAGGAAACGGGCCUAAGAACUUAAUACCCCAUAUGUCGAACAAUUCAAUCUCCAAAAUGUUUGCUAAGGGCAUCUCAUUCCUACUUGAUAUAUUUCCAGUCCUUUGGCAUUUAUCAUAGUUCUUCACAUAAGCACAAGUAUCUUUAAAUAGUGUAGGCUAAAAGAAACUUGCUUGCAAAAUCUUUGCUGCAGUAUGUGAACCACCUAAGUGUCCCCCACUUGGAGAUGAAUGGCAAUGAUACAAGAUUUCAGCAAUCUUGCUUUCAGCUACAUAUUUUCGGAUUAUAUUAUCUACACAUUGUUUAAACAAAAACGGAUUCUCCCAAAGAUAAUACUGACUAUCAUGAAGGAAUUUUUUCCUUUGUUGGUAUGUCAUUUCUCGAGGAAUUAUUCAACAUGCAAAAUAAUUGGCAAAAUCAGCAAACCAGAGUAUUUCAUGAAUUCGGUUUACCUUAAAUAAGUGUUCAUCUGAGGAAUUCUCGUUGAUAGGCACAUAUGACUGAGUUACCUCAUCUUGCUCCAACCUCGACAGAUGAUCAGCUAUUUGAUUUUCGACACCUUUUCUGUCUUGGAUCUCAAGGUCAAAUUCAUGGAGUAAAAGUAUCCAACGAAUUAGCCUUAGUUUUGCAUAUUUCCUUGUGAGCAAGUAUUUAAUGGCCGCAUGGUUAGUAAAUAAUGUAACUUUGGUACUUACAAAAUAUGAGUGGAAUUUGUCAAAAGAAAAAAAACUAUAGCGAAAAGUUCCUUUUCGAUUACUGUAUAAUUAUGUUGGGCUCUCGUCAAAGUUCUACUUGCAUAGUAAAUAGGGUGAAACACUUUAUUUCUUCUUUGACCCAUCACAGCUCCAACGACAUAGUCACUUGUAUCGCACAUCAACUCAAAAGGUGAGUUCCAAUCAGGUGUAACGAUUAUUGGGGCUGAGAUUAACCGCUUUUUUAGCUCUUCAAAAGCUUCCAAACAUGCUUUGUUGAACUCUUUGAUAAACCUUCGAUAAAAAUCGGCAUGGCCUAAGAAACUUCUGAUUCCUUUCACAUUCAUUGGGGCCGGUAAUCUUUCAAUUACGUCCAUCUUUGAUUUAUUGACUUCAAUUCAUUUUUUUGAGAUCUUAUGACCUAAGACAAUCCCUUCAUUGACCAUAAAAUGACAUUUUUCCCAAUUAAGGAUAAGAUUCGUCUCUUCGUAUCUCUUUAGUACCUUAGCCAAAUUACUCAAACAGAUAUCAUAAGUGUUACCAAAAAUAGAAAAAUCAUCUAUGAAAACCUGAACAAAAUUUUCAACUAUAUCAGUAAAUAUUGCCAUCAUGCAUCGUUGAAAAGUUACAGGUGCAUUGCAUAAACCUAAAGGCAUUCGCCUAAAAGCAAACAUACCGUAUAGACAAGUAAAUGUUGUUUUAUGUUGGUCCUCUAGGGUUACAACUAUUUGUUUAUAUCCUGAAUAGCCAUUUAACAAAUAAUAGAAUUCAUUACCUACCAGUCGAUCUAACAUUUGAUCCAUAAAAGGCAACGAAAAAUGGUCUUUCCAAGUGGCUUUGUUAAACUUUCUGUAAUCAAUACAGAUUCUUCAACCGAUAACAGUUCUUGUUUGAAUUAACUCAUUAUGCUCAUUUUUAACAAUCGUGAUUCCACCUUUCUUCUGCACACUACACUGGACUUACCCACGAACUCUCUAAAAUAGGAUAUAUGAUUUUUGCAUCUAACCAUUUGAUCACUUCUUUUCUCACAACUUCUUUCAUAAUAGGAUUGAGCCUCCUUUGCCCAUCAAUUUGAGCUCUUUCACUGUCUUCUAAAAUGAUUUUAUGCAUGCAAAAAGAUGGGCUUAUACCUCGAAUAUCAGCUAUGGUCGAACCAUUACUUUCUUAAAUUUCUUUAGAACAAUAAUUAGUUGCUUCUCUAAAUCUUUCAUCAGUUCCGCUAAAACAAUCACAAGAAAAAUAUAAAAAUCACUUAAACGUAUUUCAAAUGGGAAGGAAGUACAUUUAGUUCGAUUUUAGGGGGUUCUUCAAUUGACAACUUGGGUUGCACAAAUUCUCUAACUUCUAAUUCCAAAGGUUCAAACCAUGUGGAUUAAAAAAAAUUUCCCGGAUUGGCUUGCAUUAAAGGGUUAAGGUCUAAGGCUUUCUCUAAUGGAUCUUCUUCAAAAUUACUUUCCAUAGAAACCAAGGUUUCUAUCUCUUUCAUAAUUGAACACUCCUCUGUCAAAUCAGGAAAUUUCAUCACUUUAAGAAUGUUAAAGGUUACCUAAUCGUUUUGAACUCGCAUGGUGAGUUCUCCUUUCUGCACAUCAAUUAACGUUCUUCCCAUGGAUAAGAAAUGUCUUCCAAGGAUGAUUGGCACUUCCUUGUUUGCUUCAAAAACUAAGACAAUGAAAUCAGCAGGAAAAAUAAAUUUAUUGGCUCUUAUCAAAACAUCCUCGAUCUUUCCUUCGGGAUAUGCUAAAGAUCGAUCCGCUAGCUUAAGUGUCACAGUUGUAGGUCUUACUUCACCUAUCCUUAACAUCUUAAAAAUAGACUUAGGUAUCAAGUUGAUACUCGCUCUUAACUCACACAAAGCUUUACUAUAGUAAGAUUCACCAAUGUUACAGGGUAUAGUAAAGCUUCCUGGGUCUUUCAAUUUCGGUGGCAGUUUGUUCUACAAGAACGCACUGCACUCUUUUUUCAAGGAAACAGUCUCAUACUCACUCAGUAGUUUCUUCUUGGAAAGUAUAUCCUUUAUAAACUUCACAUAAUUCGGCAUUUGUUCUAAAGCCUCCACCAACGGAAUAUUGAUAUGUAACUACUUCAGAACAUCCAAAAACUUCUUGAACUACACCUCUUAUUUCUGCUUGUGUUGCUGCAAUCUUAGCGGAUAUAAAACUGAUGGAACUUUUGGUUGAACCGGACAACUUUUCUAAGUAGGUAAAUCUGCAUCUAAAGAUGUUAAAAUAUCUAAAUUCACUAAGUUAGGGUUUACCUUGUCAGACUUUGUAGAUUCUGAUUCUUUUAUUGUGAGAACUUCAACAGUUGGUUGAUUCUUCUCAACGGGCUUAUCUUCGACAUCAAUCAAUCGAGGUUCUAGAAUUUUACCACUUCGCAAUGCCACUGCCUUAAUAUGUUCAUUACCUAAAUUUCUUGGAUUCUAAGUAUCGCUCGGUAGGGUUCCUUGUUGUCUAUUACGUAGCUUCGUAGCUAACUGACCCAUUUGGUUUUCCAAAUUUUUCAGUGUUGUUGCUUGGCUUUGGAUCAAAGCGUCAUUAUUUGUCAUGCAUGCUUUCAACAAGUUCACUAAAUUGUUUGAUGCCUUAGCUUGAGGUGGUUUUGGAGCUUGUUGAUUAAACCCUUGAGAUUGGUUGGGUCUUUACUGCAAUAAGUUGUUGUUCGGUCCAUUUCCUAGGUUGCUCCAAGAAAAGUUACGAUGAUCACGCCAUGAAUUAUGUAUAAGUUAGACUAGGGUCCUUGUCUAUUCUUAUUUUGAUAUUGGUUCCCCACAUAGUACACUGACUCAGGAUUUUAUGGACAAUUCUCAAAAGAAUGAGCUUCCCCACAAUACACGCAGGAAAUUACUUCAAACGGACUUGGUGGCUGAGCUGCAGGAUUAUUAGUACUAUUAGUGGUUAAAUGUUUUAUCAUAGAGGUAAUAGACGAUACCUAAGAUGAUAAUGAAGUGAAUGCGUCAACUUCAUGAACUCUGGCUACACGUCUUCCUGAAGCUGUUCGAUUUGUUGGCCAUUGAUAGUUAUUACUCGCGAUCCUCUCGAUGAUCUCAUAAGCCUCAUUAGAAGACUUAGACAAAAUUGCACUAUUCACGAAAGCAUCUACCAUCAAUCUUGUAUGUGCAUUAAGACUAUUAGAAAAUGUCUCCAACUGGAUACAAUGAAGAAUCCCAUGAUGAGGACACUUAUGAAGUAACUUCUUGAAUCGUUCUUAAGCCUCAUACAAAGACUCGUCAUCUAAUUGUUGGAAAGUUGUGAUCUCGUUCCCUAACUUAGUGUUUUUGCUAGGUGGGAAAUACUUAACCAAAAAUCUCUCUGCUAAUUCUUGCCAUGUAGAUAUGAAACUUGGUGGCAAUGAAUUGAGCCAUGCUCGUGCUCGAUCUCGCAAUGAGUACGGAAAAAACUUUAACCUCAGCACGUUUUUAGUCACACCAGCUAUCUUGAAUGAAUCACUCACCUCCACAAACAAUUGAAGGUAGAGGUAUGGAUCUUCCGUGAGCAUACCACUAAAUUGGCCCACCGUUUGUAGCAUUUGAAACAUCACUGGUUUUAGUUCAAACUGAGUUACCUCAAUAUCUAGCAUUCUAAUUCCUGGGUUUAACUUACUGAAAAAUGGCACAACAUAUUGUCUAAUGCAUUUAUCCCUAUCAUCGGUAAUGAGGAUAGGAUUUCAUACAUGAUCGGCUUCAUUACCUUGGUCUUGAUUCUGAUUGCCAAGGUUCAUCUUGACUUGCCUUUGAGUUCGUUCACGUAUUCUUUGUCUGAAAAUUAGCUCAAUUUUAUGGUCUACAAGGAGUAAAUUGAUAAUUUGAUCUAUGCUCAUAAACACCUGAAAAGAAAAUCACAAAAAUUAAAAAGAAUAAGUUAGUAAUGUUAGAAAUAAAUCAAAUUGAAAAUAAAUAAUUUCAUGAAAAAAAUUGACUAUGGCAAGAGUUGACAAUCCUCGGCAACGGCACCAAAAACUUGUAGCGCGUAGGUUUGUGCAAGUGUUCACAGUCGUUAUCAACUAAUAAGUAAGUAUCGAGUUAUCGUCUCCACAUGGAUUGUAUUUGUGCUAAGUCGCUUAAUUUGUAAAAUUAUAUUAACAAUUUGGUAAAUAAAAACACAAUAUAGUUGAGAAGUGGUGAUUAAAAUAUGUUAAACUAAAUGCAAUGAUCCCUAAUGCAAAUUAUCCUAAGUAUGCAAACUAUAUGAAUGAAAUAGAUUUUAGUAAUAUUAAACACAAUUUACAACAAUUAUAACAUAAAUAAACUAGGAUGAUUACUUUAAUUAAACUCAAUUUAUUAUCAACAUGCUUAAUAACAUCCGAAAAAAUAUUCCAUGACAACUCGACCUUUCAUGAGUUUGGAAACCACAUUAGGUCCUUUCAAAAUUCUUUACUUAGUAAAUACGCAUUUUACUGAUCCUUAUUUAUGAAGGGUUUCUUAGCAUUCGUGUGAGGUUACAGGGAUGUGUCAGGUUUGAAACAAUUUAAUCACACAAAGCUAAAAACUAUGCAGAUAACAGAGCUUAGUCAGAGUUGUUAUGCAACCUUCAAUUUAAUUGGGUUAGGAUCUAAAUUAAGCAUGCACAUUUUAAUUAUGUCUCUAUUAGCCGUCGUCUGGUCAGAAUCGCUCAGCUAAUUUAGGUGCAGUUCAAUCACGUAUGAACGAAAUGCAGACUUGAUUUUAAUUGAAAACAUGAUCGAUUGAAGCACAAUCAUUUUAAGCAUGAAUCAAAUUAUUUAAUCAAAGCAAUCAUCCUAGCUUAAAUAAAAUUAAGCUAACAUUGUUGUAAACAAGAACAAAGAACACAUAGCAAACAUUUUUAUAUUAAAUUAAAGGAAGAUUAAACCUAAUUCAGAGUGUCUGUCACCCAAGAAUCUGACUGACAAGGCUGCUUUGUUCCUUUGCUUUACUCCUUUGCUGAUGGCUCUCCAAGGUGGCUGACCAAUAGUUCUUUAAGAGAUUUAAUUGCUAAAAUCUCCAUGAAGAGAUGAUGCUAGGUGUGGGAAUGGAAAAGGCUAAGAGAAUUUGGAUAAAAGAGAGAAUGAGGAGUGAAUGAGGAAUGGUUGAGGGAUGCUUGAGGGAUGUUUCAGGGAUGUUUUAGUGAUGAUGAAUGAAGGAAUGAGAGGGUCUUUUUUAUAGGUGAGGAGAGGGGGAUAGUUUGUUAAAAAUAGUGGAUGUGAACCUUUUCAAAUCUCCUCAAAUUGUGGCCGGCCAUGCUUAGUGGCUUUUGAAUUGAUUUUUUUGCUUGAUUUUUAAGCAAUUUUUGAUGCCACACAACUCAGGGUUGAGACUCGAUCAAUCGUAAAUCUUCGGGUAAAUCUCUAAUUUCUUCAACACUACAAGGACCUUGUGAAAUUAAACCAAAGAAUGGUUUAAAUGGACAGCCAUGUGUAGCCGAAUAUUGGGUUGACUUGGUCUUCAAUUUGGAUGGUUUUGUAAUUCAUCAAAGCUAUCAGACUUAUCCAGAACAAAUUAACAAGUUAGAGGACGAAUCAAAUUUAUCCAAUUUAAUUAAUUAAUUAAAACCCAAAUUAUUAAUGAAAUAUUUUAAAAUGAAUUAUUAAAUAUGAUUUUAUAUUUUAUUAUUUAAUUUAAUCAUGCAUGGCUCACUUUAUGUCUUAAAAAAUAUAAUAUAUUCAAAGUAAUAUAAAACAAGCCAUUUAUUACAUGAAAACUAUAUAAUAAAGCAUAAAAUCACAUUUUAAUAAUUUCUAUGUCAUAAUUUCAUAUUUUCACAUAUUUCAUUAAUUUAUUAAACAAUAACUUGUUUUAACAAUAAAUUUAAGUAAAAAUGUGAUAAAUUACAUAGGAAAAAUCCUAUAUAUAUUCUCGUUUACAGAAUGCCAUGAGCCUUCCAGAUCUAUGUAAAAAGAGUUUUCAGACUUAUAGUAGAACCAGAAGUAAGAGGGAGAGGGAUAGGAGUCGAGAACGAUCGAAACAACCGAUAUUCACUUUGGACCGAGUAACAACCAAUCGGAACCCCAUUCCAAAUAAGCACAUCGUGGCCAACCAAAAAAGACAAAAGAAUACGUAGGAUACGCGUGGCCUCUUUGGUAGAAAAUAAAGCUUGUAUCAAAGCAACAUUCUAAAAGGCGGAACAAGGGAUAAUUAAAUCACUAACCCAUGAAACAACAAUAGUAACAUGUGUAUGCAGAGAGCCAACAUUCAUUCCAAAUCGAAAUGGAGCAACCAUCACCCACUCCCCAACCCAGUCCCUUUUCCAAUAGUACCCGAGAACACCAAAUACUACGCCAAGUAUAAGAAGGGGGAUAUCCCAACUCGGCCUCAAGAAAUUUAUAUGCUGAAAGUAGCGAGCCUUCAAAACACGACUUAAAAGGCUAGUCAGAUUAGUCACAAGACACCAUCCUUUCCUCACUAGAAGGCAAUGUUAAAGGUAGCUAAAUCACGAAAGCCCAUCCCUCCAACAUUUGGGAGCGCACAACUAGGAUCAUGAACACUAUGGAAUACCCCUAUGACAAUCUGAUGUCCACCUUAAAAACUUAUUCAUAAUAACCUCCAAAUCAUAGCAUAGGGAAAUAGGGAACAUAAAACAUUGCAUAGUAAACGUGGGGAUCGCCAGUAAAACCGACUGAAUAAAUACACCCCUACCACCUUGUGAAAGACAUCACAUAUUCCACCUAUCCACACUACGUCAGAACCAAUCCUUAAAGUGUUGGAAAGUAGCUCGUUUGUUUUUCCCAACCAAAGGCGGAAGGCCCAAGUACUUGUCAAAAUGAUCAAUGACACGCACACCCAAAAUCGAUCCAAAAAGAGGUAUCGUAGAAGGGCCAAUAUUGGUGCUAAAAUAUGUUACAGAGUUAUCAAAAUUCACCAAUUAACUUAAAUACCUCCCAUAUUCAUGGAGAAUAGAUUAAACUGUGGAGGCACUCUUAGCUAUAGUAAGGCUAAAAACCAUACAAUCAUUAGUAAAUAAAAGACUCGACUGCCCUAUGCCAACCUUGGGAAAAACCCACGUCUAUUGAACCACCUGAACAAAGUAGAGAGCCCCUCGCCAUAUAAAGUAAAGAGAAAAGGUCUUAAUGGGUCACUCUGUCGAAAACCACGCGAAGGUAAAAAAAGUCCCUCACACUCCGAUUAAUGACCACAGAGUAGGACACUGUAUGUAUAUAAAGCAUUAUCAGAGACCCAUGCAGUACAGAAACUCAUCCGGAGCAUAACAGCCUCUAGAAAAUCCCACUCAACCCGGUCAUAGGCCUUGCUCAUAUCAGCUUAAAAGCAAAAAUGCUUCCCAUGACGUUUCUGUCGGAAAGAAUAAAUAACCUCAUAUGCAAUAAGGUAGUUGUUAAGAAUAAAUGACCUCAUACGCAAUAAAAUACUGUGUUACGGUCUUUCUGACGUAACCAAUUCACUCAUGAUUAUUGACACAAAAAUCUCCUUCUAAUCCGCCUCCAAAUUAAUAUCCAACUUAAUGUCUGUUAUUUCGGCCAAAAUGUCAUCAAAAGGUUUAGCAGCAAUCAAACGGUCCAAUCUAGCGAGAGUAUCCCACUCUACUCCCUGUUUUGACUGAGUAAGUGCUCGACCUCACGUAGAUAAAGUAAGUCCUAAUGCAUGAAAGCGUGAAGGAAUCGACACACAACUAUCAGACCAUACAUGUCGAAUCACGUCUUCACAGGCAGGCUUAGAAACCUAAGGAGACUCAAAUAGAAACAAACUCCUAGGCACACCAACAAAACCAGCAGACAAAGUGGCACUAAUAGUAACAAGAGGACAUUGAUAAAAAAUCGAAUGAGGAGCAUGUCGAACCUGUGAAACAGGAAACCUAUCAUUCCACAAAGGAAUCGUAACACAAUGAUCUAAGCGCUCUCAAAUAUUUGACGCCGAGAACUUACCCUGUUCCCAAGUAAACCACUGCCCAAAGAGAGCCCAAAUCAUGAAGAUCAUAGUCAGCCAUAGUAAAAUGAAAAUUCUCUAUUUGUCUAUCUCGAUGAAGUAAACCUCCCCAAUUUCUCAAAAGCAUACAUAAUCACAUUAAAGUCGCCAAAAACCAGGAAGGGCAAAUCAAGGUCAAAGUGCAGUCAUCGAAAAAGGUUCCAUGACUCAAAUCGCUCAUACUCUACUAGUGAACUAUAGAAACCCGUCAGUCGCCAACUAGUCUCAUAUGUAUCAUCAACAAUCACCACAUCUAAAUGGUGAGCUGAAUAACCCUGCAAAUGGAUUUGGUAUCUUGGUUUCCAUCCCAAAGAAAGGCCACUCGAGUACCAAUAAUCGAAACAUCUAGACCAUAUAGAAAAUUGAAGCUACGAUGAAUCAACUCUAUCCGUUUAACAUCAAGUUUUGUCUCCAAAAGAAACAGUAGUUGUGGAUUGUAACGACCCAGCGUAUGUCGCACACGACAAACAGUUCGUGGGUUCCUCAAACCACAGAUAUUCCAACUUAUCAGAUUCAUAGUGGCCUGCUGCUCUAACUCAGAGAGCCAGCCUCAUCAGUAAAAGAAGAAGUUUAUGCAAAAUACGAGGUUGCAGAAACAAUAGAUACAGGAGAACUAAGUCGUGCCUAUUUUUUCCCACCCAAAACAAGUCGAGUUCCUUCUGUGAACACUAUGUAAACUCUGUCAAAAUAGCAAAAUGGUCAUCCACCGUCAUGGACGCAUAACUAGUCUUAGUGGGAUUCGGUUUGUCCAAAGAUAGACCUAAAGUAGUAUCCUUUUCCUAAAUAAAAUCCAAAGUAGAAAACAAUAAAGGGAAAGCGUGUGAGGAAUGCGAUCCAUCCCCCAAAAGUGGUGCAGCAAUCAGUGGGUCAUUGCACAACCAAACACUAGUCAGAGACUGUCGACGACACAGUUGUGCCCGCAGGGAAAUAUCCCACUCCAACGAAACAUCCGUAGAACCAAGAGUCAACCGACGAGGACAGAAACUCUCGCUAUGGCACAAUUUGUUACAAAAGAGGGAUAGUCGCUCAUAGCAAAACCGUGCAUAUACCCAGUGUUGAUAAGUUAAAGCAAGGCGCUUUCUCUGCUUUAAUGAAAUUCGGACAUCCAACUGAACCCGAAUAUGUAGAAACUGUUGUAGACCAAAACCAGGGGUUGAAGAGUCGAGUCCCAAGAAAAGCACCAAAUUGUCGUGCCAAACUCUUAGUCCUAUACCCCACCAGGAUGUCAUGAAUUUGAACCCAGAAGUCCAAAAAACCCAAGAAUACUUUAAGAAGAUUUUCCCCUGACAUUAAACGAUGAAACACGAGCAAGUGGUUAUUGAAAGUCCAAGGGCUACCUUGGAGCACCCGAUCAAUGUUCACAACCGCAUAAAAUUGAAAUCGAAAGCGUUUCUCACCCAGAUCAGAAAUAGAGACACUCCCAAUGGGAUGCCAAAGAUUUGCCAUUAUCGAGUGCAUGGCUUCAAAUCAGAUCACACUCGCAGUCAGAAAACUACCCACCCAACAUAAAUCAAAACAAGAAACACUGCCUGAAGCAUCAGGGGUAACCAGCCAUGCUUUUUCCUCGUCAUCAUGAAGGGAUAAACCUGCAAUUUCAUCUUCCAUAGUCAAAUAUGAGAAGCAGCAUUCACGCAAAAAAAAAAUGGAAAAAUGAAGUUCAGAUAAACAAACAAAGAAACCGCACGUGCCACAAGGCAGACUUGUAUUAGUAUUGAUAAAUAUAUUUUUUAGUAUAGGUGUGUUACAAUUUCUUUUUACACAUAACACUCCCAUCUGAUGCAUUUAUUUCCAAUUCGGAUAAAUUGCUCUUUUACCCCUAGUCUUUUAAAUUAUAUAAAAUAAUUGACUUUAAACAUUAUAUUACAAUUUAUAAAACUUUUUUAAAAAUUAAUCUUAUUUGCUAUUGUUUUUAUAUAAUAAAAUUCUUUUUCAUAAAUUAAUUUGUCUAUUAGUACAUAAUUUUAUAAUAAAACAUUGGUAUAUCUAUUUAUUAUAAUCAUGUUAACAUAAUAUUUUAAUCAUUUUAACAUAAUAUUUCCAAACUUAAUAAUACAACAUAUAUUUUAUAUCGUACUAAUGUGUAUUAUCGAUUUUUUUAUGUUAAGAUUAAAUUUACGUUAUUUUUAUUUUUUCUUAAAAUAAUUACAUUAAUAAAUACUAUAAGUCAGUGUCUUGUACAACUAUACAAAUUAAUAUAAUGCAUGUGAUAAACCCAUAAUAUGAAUGGUUAAUUAAAUGAUAAGAAUUUUUAUGGUGACGAGGUAUGUACUAUGAAACCAAACAAGCACAUGACAUGCAUGAGAACAGAUCAUAAGUCACGAUAGAUUAAAUUUGGAAAGUCAACUUGUGAAGUGCUCAGAUACGAAAGUCAGCUCAAAAGGAAUCCCAAUGAGUGAUCUGGCGGGCAAAGGGAAAUUAAGGCAAAUUAGAUUUGGGGGGGUGGGGGGGGGGGGGGGGAGCUUCAUGGAUCAUAGAUAAAUUCUUAGCAUGUGCCCUCAUCACUAAUCUCAAUUUUCUUUUUAGGGAUCAAAUAGGCGCAUCAUUGACCAACAAAUUGAAAACUCCUAUGUUUUGUAUAUUCUCAAAAAAUUCCCUUUGAAUAAUAUUUUUUUGUUUAUUUAGUAUUUAUAUUUUCAUAAAAUGUUAAAAUAUUUGUAUUUUGAAAAUAUCUAAUGUGAUACUUAAAUUAUCAAUCUAUGUAUUAUUAUGAUAAUUGAAGUUAACAUAAUUAGUGAAUGCUAAACUAGUCAAUGAAAA